rnacentral:misc_RNA from 1 species
UCGUGGGGCUCCGGCCCUUUCGAGAUAGAACCCUUGCCUUUUUGAGUACCGUCCGUUUCCUCGGCAGGCUCGCCUGCCAGUGGGGACCCAAACAAACCCUUUGCAACACCUGUAAAUCGUCUGAGAAAACAAAACAACAAAUCA